rnacentral:rRNA from 1 species
GACGGGGGAUGCAAGUGUUAUCCGGAAUAAUUGGCGUAAAAGCGUCUGUAGGUGGUUUACCAAGUCUGUUGUUAAAAAUCAGGCUUAACCCUGAUCCGGCAACAGAAACUAGUAGGCUGGAGUACGGUAGGGGCAGAGGGAAUUCUCGGUGUAGUGGUGAAAUACGUAGAUAUCGAGAAGAACACCAAUAGCGAAAAGCACUCUGCCUGGGCCGAAAACUGACAUUG